GCCGUCGUCGCAUAGUGGUUAUUGCACCAGAUUGCUAAUCUGGGCCCUUCGGGGCUCCCCGGUUCGAAUCCGGGCGACGGCG
rnacentral:tRNA from 1 species